AGAAUCAACGCUGGCGGCGUGCCUAACACAUGCAAGUCGAACGAGAAAGUGGAGCAAUCCAUGAGUAAAGUGGCGACCGGGUGAGUAACACGUGACUAACCUACCUUCGAGUGGGGGAUAACCUCGGGAAACCGAGGCUAAUACCGCAUAACAUCGCAAGAUCAAAGCAGCAAUGCGCUGGAAGAGGGGGUCGCGGCUGAUUAGCUAGUUGGCGGGUAACGCCCACAAGGCGAAGAUCGGUAGCCGGCCUGAGAGGGCGCACGGCCACACUGGAACUGAAACACGGUCCAGACUCCUACGGGAGGCAGCAGUGGGGAAUUUGCGCAAUGGGGGGAAACCCUGACGCAGCAACGCCGCGUGGAGGAUGAAGCCCCUUGGGGCGUAAACUCCUUUCGACCAAGACGAUAAUGACGGUACUGGUGGAAGAAGCACCGGCUAACUCUGCGCCAGCAGCCGC
rnacentral:rRNA from 1 species